rnacentral:rRNA from 1 species
GUUGGCUUAGAAGCAGCCACCCUUGAAAGAGUGCGUAAUAGCUCACUGGUCAAGUGAUUCCGCGCCGACAAUGUAGCGGGGCUCAAGCACACCGCCGAAGCUGUGGCAUUCACACUCGAGACAAGCCUUCGUGGUUCAGUCGUGUGGAUGGGUAGGGGAGCGUCGUGCCGCCAGCGAAGCCGCGGGGAAACCCAGUGGUGGAGGCGGCACGAGUGAGAAUGCAGGCAUGAGUAGCGAAUGACGGGUGAGAAACCCGUCCGCCGAAUGACCAAGGGUUCCAGGGCCAGGCUAAUCCGCCCUGGGUAAGUCGGGACCUAAGGCGAGGCCGACAGGCGUAGUCGAUGGACAACGGGUUGAUAUUCCCGUACCGGCGAAGAACCGCCCAUACCGAGCCCGGUGAUGCUAACCGUCCGAGCCUGCCCCAUCGUCCUUCGGGACACCGGGGCAGGGGAGCACGGGACCCGAACCGGUAGUAGGUAAGCGUAUUAACAGGAGUGACGCAGGAAGGCAGCCCAGCGUGGCGAUGGUAGUCCACGUCCAAGGUCGUAGGGUCAGGUGUAGGCAAAUCCGCACCUGGUGAAGCCUGAGAACCGACGGGUACCGCGUAUGCGGGAAAUGGGUGAUCCUAUGCUGCCAAGAAAAGCUUCGACGCGAGGUUCUAGCCGCCCGUACCCCAAACCGACUCAGGUGGUCAGGUAGAGAAUACCAAGGCGAUCGAGAGAAUCGUGGUUAAGGAACUCGGCAAAAUGCCCCCGUAACUUCGGGAGAAGGGGGGCCUCAAGCGUGAUCCACCCUCGCGGUGGUGAGCGUGGAGGGCCGCAGAGACCAGGGAGAAGCGACUGUUUACUAAAAACACAGGUCCGUGCGAAGUCGCAAGACGAUGUAUACGGACUGACGCCUGCCCGGUGCUGGAAGGUUAAGAGGACGGGUCAGCUCUUCGGAGCGAAGCUCAGAAUUUAAGCCCCAGUAAACGGCGGUGGUAACUAUAACCAUCCUAAGGUAGCGAAAUUCCUUGUCGGGUAAGUUCCGACCUGCACGAAUGGCGUAACGACUUCUCCGCUGUCUCAACCGCGAACUCGGCG